GAUGAACGCUGGCGGCGUGCCUAAUACAUGCAAGUCGAGCGAACAGACGAGGAGCUUGCUCCUCUGACGUUAGCAGCGGACGGGUGAGUAACACGUGGAUAACCUACCUAUAAGACUGGGAUAACUUCGGGAAACCGGAGCUAAUACCGGAUAAUAUAUUGAACCGCAUGGUUCAAUAGUGAAAGACGGUUUUGCUGUAACUUAUAGAUGGAUCCGCGCCGCAUUAGCUAGUUGGUAAGGUAACGGCUUACCAAGGCAACGAUGCGUAGCCGACCUGAGAGGGUGAUCGGCCACACUGGAACUGAGACACGGUCCAGGCUCCUACGGGAGGCAGCAGUAGGGAAUCUUCCGCAAUGGGCGAAAGCCUGACGGAGCAACGCCGCGUGAGUGAUGAAGGUCUUCGGAUCGUAAAACUCUGUUAUUAGGGAAGAACAAAUGUGUAAGUAACUAUGCACGUCUUGACGGUACCUAAUCAGAAAGCCACGGCUAACUACGUG
rnacentral:rRNA from 1 species